ACUCCUACGGGAGGCAGCAGUGGGGAAUAUUGCACAAUGGGGGAAACCCUGAUGCAGCCAUGCCGCGUGUGUGAAGAAGGCCUUCGGGUUGUAAAGCACUUUCAGUAGGGAGGAAGGUAGUGUAGUUAACACCUGCAUUAUUUGACGUUACCUACAGAAGAAGCACCGGCUAACUCCGUGCCAGCAGCCGCGGUAAUACGGAGGGUGCGAGCGUUAAUCGGAAUUACUGGGCGUAAAGCGCAUGCAGGCGGCCUGUUAAGUCAGAUGUGAAAGCCCGGGGCUUAACCUCGGAAUUGCAUUUGAAACUGGCAGGCUAGAGUCUUGUAGAGGGGGGUAGAAUUUCAGGUGUAGCGGUGAAAUGCGUAGAGAUCUGAAGGAAUACCAGUGGCAAGGCGGCCCCCUGGACAAAGACUGACGCUCAGAUGCG
rnacentral:rRNA from 1 species